rnacentral:rRNA from 1 species
UACGGGGGGGGCAAGCGUUGUUCGGAAUUACUGGGCGUAAAGGGCGCGUAGGCGGCCUUCUAAGUCGAACGUGAAAUCCCCGGGCUCAACCCGGGAACUGCGUCCGAUACUGGAAGGCUUGAAUCCGGGAGAGGGAUGUGGAAUUCCAGGUGUAGCGGUGAAAUGCGUAGAUAUCUGGAGGAACACCGGUGGCGAAGGCGACAUCCUGGACCGGUAUUGACGCUGAGGCGCGAAAGCGUGGGGAGCAAACAGG